rnacentral:rRNA from 1 species
UACGUAGGGUGCAAGCGUUAAUCGGAAUUACUGGGCGUAAAGCGUGCGCAGGCGGUUAUGCAAGCCAGAUGUGAAAUCCCCGGGCUCAACCUGGGAACUGCAUUUGUGACUGCAUGGCUGGAGUGCGGCAGAGGGGGAUGGAAUUCCGCGUGUAGCAGUGAAAUGCGUAGAUAUGUGGAGGAACACCGAUGGCGAAGGCAGCCCCCUGGGAUAAGACUGACGCUCAUGUACGAAAGCGUGGGGAGCAAACAGG